UUCCCCGUACCAUAGAACUUUGGCAAGUUCAAGUGACCUUAGAUUUAUUUUGGCUUUGGCGUCAAGAAACCUAGAACUACUCUUUUGGUGAUAACAUUGUUUUCACUAACGGAUGAGAAAAAAGGAAACAAACAAUCAAUACAAGCCGAAUUAAGGUGCUAAAGGGAACAAACUGUGCCACUUUACUUUAAUUACUUUUACCUGUUCAAGAAAGCCUUUCAUAACAGCCUGAAUUUUCUUGUUCAGUUGAAGUGAGAAACUGGUUAUUCUACUAUGUCCAUGCAACCCAAUUGAGUAGCUUUUGUUUUUACAAGCUUAUAAAUAGGAAAAUGGAAGAUUUGACUGCCCCCAUUGCAUUGAUAGACGCGUCUGGUAAAACUAGAAACGUCUAACAGGCUAUAUAUUAUACUAACAGUAUAUACUAAUUUGUUAGAAGAGGGUUCAAAUACAUGGUUAAAGAACUUAAAUUAUCCCCAGUUUGGAAAAAAAGAUUCUGAGCUGAUGAUUAUCAUCAUUAUUAUCUUUAACUGUCAAUUGUUUGUGUUAACAGGUCCUUAGGGGGAGGGGAAUAACGGCCACCAAAUAGUAUUUGACGACUGAACUUAUGCGUGUAUGCAAGCACCAGCAAAAUACAGCGAGUAAUUGGGAAAUAUUGCCUUAGUACUUCGAGACAUUCGUAAUAAAUAAAUCGAACCUAUCUGCACUUGAAAUUGUAUUGCACUUAAUUUUGUCGGCGAAUCCAAUUCAACAAGGGAACAAGCGAGGGCCCUAGAAUGUGUUCAAGUGAUAGGUUAAACAUAACCUGCGAGACUUCUUGACCAUUUUGAAACUUGACUGUCCACCACGUGAAAUACCCUAUUUAUCUAUGGAUUUCAGCGAGAAACCCUUGUCUGCUCUAGUAUUCGGUAGCAAAGGAUAAAAGGCCAUCAUAUUAUGUUAUACAAUUUCUCAGCCAGCAUAAUAUGGUUACCAGUAACAUAAGAACACGAUUUAAGUUUUGAGUGGGAGAGCUUUCGAAAAAAGAAAGUGAUGUAAAGUCAAGAGGGAUGUGUCUUAUUAGAGUGUUAGAAGGGUGCGUACGAGUUACAUCCGACGUGGUCACUCCCGAGUGUAGAACCGAGUCGCUCCAGUAAAGUUCCGAGUCACUUCCGAGUCAAUUCCGAGUAGUACGAGUUACUAUCGAAAGGUCGCGUCGAGUGGAAUCGACUCAUCCCCGAUGGCCUUCAAACCAGAUUGUUCGGCAUAUAAACUUCUAUUCUUCGCUGCUUGAAUCUACUGCUUGAGUAAGCGUGUAUACCAGCUGACUGGUGCAGAUUCUGAAUGAAACACACAGACCGUGAACCGCCGUUCACUCAUCAACAGCGCCGAAGCACGCGAUGAGUCUGAGCACAAAGCCUCAUAAAUACUGAACAAUGGGCAACAAGCGAGGGCUGAAUAGAGAGCAAUGGGAGAUCUGUACGGCAAGCAUGGAGAGAGGAGAAGGCGGAAUAAUGAAGGCACACGUGGAUGAGAGGUCAUAAGGUCUAUCUGUUAGGCUGAGUGGCGUCAGGGGCACAAACACGAGAGUAUGGUAUUUCAAGAAUAGCCCUUUGUCAGUAUCGCUUUAAAGAAUCUAUCAAGCACUCCUUUUUUAAUGUUUACAAUUGAAAAUACAUCGGUUUACUCGCAAAAAAAGUUCAAAAAAACUAUUCACGAAUGAAGUCUGAUACUUGAUAUUUGAUUUAAAGUUUUUCACUUGCUUGAAUAAGCCAAUGGAAAUGGAUUCUUCGAGUCACUCGAUAUUGUGCGGGAGCAAAUAAUGGUGGGAGUGAUUGGCCUUCUUUAACUAAUAAAGCAGGUUAAAACAGCAAACACAAUUUGCUUGGCAGGCCCGUAGGGAUGUAUUUUCAGAUGUUUAUUACGAAAAAAAAACACAAUCAAAAAUGUUAUUGGCAAAUAAAGGCUAGUGUAACUUAAGAAUAUCCUGCAAAUGUUCAGCAUUUUAACUUGCACGAGUUGACAGUGCUGAAAACAAGCACAAUCGUAGUGUUGAAUCGUUCAAGUAAAUGUACGAAAGGGUGACUUCAGUCGCUAUUUUGACUAACUGUACAGUAUUAAAACCAUACUGUACAAAAGAUGACAGAUUUGUGUGAUAAUGAGGGAGUCAUAAAGAAAAUUACAGCCUUAAGUUUGGUCUAGUUUUCUUAGCAUUCGCCAAAAUGUGUCAGUUCGCCGGUAAAACGCCGCCAUUUCAAAACAAAAAGGCUGGUUUAACCGCGCGGUACUGGGACUAGUCUUGCGUUUUUCAGCACUGUCGCACGAGUUUGAAAUAAAAGCUUGAAACUUAAGUUACCAAACUCCCUGAUUUCUCAAAAGCUGACAAGGGAUCGUUGUUUUAGGUUUGUCACGCUAUUUCGUUGUGUUAUUAUCAUAUUGUUAUUAACUAACAUUUCAUAUACUGAUUAAUCGCUUUAGCAGAUUUACUGAUAUAAGUAGACCACCUGCUUACCAUAUGGACAUACUAAAGCCUGUUUUAGUUUAUUUUAAAUAUAUGGUAUGGGUCAUAACAGAAUUCCUUUGGAUGCAUAAACAAAAACGUCAACAGAGAACGUGUUUAAUUCCAAUAGUGUUUUAGACCAGGGACAUUGCUUGGAGACCCAGCCGUCUUUGCGAGCGCUCUCAUAGGUUUUGCUGCCUAACUAAGAAGCGCUGGCUGUCGAGCAUAUAUCAGCCUUUUCUUUUUUUUUAAUAAAAGACCUUUUGUAAGUGCACUUAUAAAAACGUCUAGCUUGUAAAGUGUAGCUUGUAACGAUUCACCUUCUUCAGUCUGCCCUGAAGAAGUCUUAUUAAAGACAAAAAAUUUGCAG